rnacentral:pre_miRNA from 1 species
UGCUUGCGUGUGUGUGUGUGUGUGUGUGUGUGUGUGUGUGUACGCACGCGCUCAUGUAGUAAGCCA